ACUGAGAACAUUUGUUGAAAGGACUUACUAUUCUCCCUCUGGAAAAUUCUUAUCAUGGAAGCUUUUAUGUAUGGGGACUCUGAACCAGUCAGCCUCCAGCCCCUGCCUCAAUGAUGAGCCAGGACCAGGGACUUGCCAUGUCCCCUGCCACCAUCCCACCCCUGUGACAACAGGCCAUUGGACCAGGAUGGAUGACUCUCCAGAUUUCUUGCCUGGCUACUCAGGUGGAGAUAAUGAAAUCAACAUGGGAGCUGAUCUUGAGAGUAGAACUGCCCUGACUGAUAUUUGGAAGGUAUCAGAAUUUCUUCCCAGAUCACUUGGCACCUUUUCCUUGCCACAACUUCCAACUGGAAGACUGGGCACAUCAGUGAGAAAAGCACCCUUCGAUCAUAAUGGAAGAGUUCAUCCCAGAUCCUGUUGCCCAUCAACAUUGCCAUCCGCCAUCUGACCAUCAGACAUGGAGCUAUACAUCAUACUACAGAAGAAACUCACCAUCCCCUGGAACCAAACGCUUCUCUUCUUGUCCUGUGCUGCUGCUCCCAUCUGUGACCAAGGAUAAAGAACCCCAGGUUGGAUGCACCAGCCUGCCUCCACACCACCCAGAAAUUCCACUCCCAGAUUGUCUGCCAGUCAAAGACUCAAGCUGGAAUAUGUUUUUCAGAUUCUUGGACCAAACUUGAUUCUUGGACCAAACUGUCUCACCCUGGUUCCCCACCCCUGCCCCUGCACACCCUCAUUUAAGUGUUGGAUACCCAUGGCCACUGCCCUUUAGUUCUCCUCCAUCUUCCAGGUCCUUUGCUGUCUAACUAAAGCUAUUUGUCAUCCUGAGGCUGGUGACACCAUCCAACUGCUCCCCUUAAUUCCUGUUCCAAAGACUUUUUGUGAGCCUAAUGUGACUACAUUACUGUUGUCCCAUAUAAAUUUCUGUUCUGUGGGCCACCGCAUGAUGCCCUUCCUUGUCAUGGCUUGUAGCUAUGCACAAAAUAAAGCAUUUUACUGAU